GUGAACCUGCGGAAGGAUCAUUGUUGAGAGAGCACAAGACGAUGGAUGGUUGUGAAUGUGUGAACGCGCCCCUUUCCUCGCCCCGCCCAUGUCGGCGGGCGAUUGACCGUAGCCGGGUGCGAUCGGCACCAAGGAACAAUGAACUCGGAAGCAGAGGGCCCCUCGACGUGCGCGGGGGGGAGCCCAAUGCGUCGGAGACUCCUCGAAAUCAAAUGACUCUCGGCAAUGGAUAUCUCGGCUCUUGCAUCGAUGAAGAACGUAGUGAAAUGCGAUACUUGGUGUGAAUUGCAGAAUCUCGUGAACCAUUGAGUCUUUGAACGCAAGUUGUGCCCGAGGCCUUGUGGCCGAGGGCACGCCUGCUUGGGCGUCAUGGCAUCGUCGCUUUCGCUCCACGCAUUGUUGGUGGCGAGCGGAAAUUGGCCCCGUGUGUCCUCGGGCACAGUCGGUCGAAGAGUGGGUAGUCGGCAGUCGUCGGGCACGAUGGGUGUUGGUCGCCGCGAGCGGGAACAGAACGUCGUCCCCGUCGUCUCGGGAUGAGUCCUCAAGAGACCCUGUGCGAAUGCGGCGUCGGCCGAAAGUGCCGCGCCCAUCAAAUUGUGGCCCCAAGUC
rnacentral:rRNA from 1 species